CAACUUUCAGCAACGGAUCUCUUGGCUCUCGCAUCGAUGAAGAACGCAGCGAAAUGCGAUAAGUAAUGUGAAUUGCAGAAUUCAGUGAAUCAUCGAAUCUUUGAACGCACCUUGCGCUCCUUGGUAUUCCAAGGAGCAUGCCUGUUUGAGUGUCAUUA
rnacentral:rRNA from 1 species